rnacentral:rRNA from 1 species
GAUGAACGCUAGCUACAGGCUUAACACAUGCAAGUCGAGGGGCAGCGCAGUGUAGCAAUACAUGGGCGGCGACCGGCGCACGGGUGCGUAACGCGUAUCCAACCUUCCCGUUACUCUUGGAUAGCCUUCCGAAAGGGAGAUUAAUACAAGAUGGUAUUCAAAUUCCGCAUGUUAUUUGAAUUAAAGAUUAAUCGGUAACGGAUGGGGAUGCGUGACAUUAGAUAGUAGGCGGGGUAACGGCCCACCAAGGCGACGAUCGUUAGGGGUUCUGAGAGGAAGGUCCCCCACACUGGAACUGAGACACGGUCCAGACUCCUACGGGAGGCAGCAGUGAGGAAUAUUGGUCAAUGGGCGCGAGCCUGAACCAGCCAAGUGGCGUGAAGGAUGACUGCCCUACGGGUUGUAAACUUCUUUUGUUUGGGAAUAAAUGAUACUACGUGUAGUAUUUUGCAUGUACCUUACGAAUAAGCAUCGGCUAAUUCCGUG